UACGUAGGGCGCGAGCGUUUGUCCGGAAUCAUUGGGCGUAAAGAGCUCGUAGGCGGCCUGUCGCGUCUGCUGUGAAAUCCCGGGGCUUAACCCCGGGCGUGCAGUGGAUACGGGCAGGCUAGAGUUCGGUAGGGGAGACUGGAAUUCCUGGUGUAGCGGUGAAAUGCGCAGAUAUCAGGAGGAACACCGGUGGCGAAGGCGGGGUCUCUGGGCCGAUACUGACGCUGAGGAGCGAAAGCGUGGGGAGCGAACAGG
rnacentral:rRNA from 1 species